rnacentral:rRNA from 1 species
GUAGGAGGCAAACGUUAUCCGGAUUUACUGGGCGUAAAGCGCGUGUAGGUGGUACUGUAAGUAGGGCGUGAAAGCUCCUGGCUCAACUGGGAGAGGCCGUUCUAAACUACAGAACUAGAGGAUGGUAGAGGGAGGUGGAAUUCCAGGUGUAGCGGUGGAAUGCGCAGAUAUCUGGAGGAACACCGGUGGCGAAGGCGGCCUCCUGGACCAUUCCUGACACUCAGACGCGAAAGCUAGGGUAGCAAACGGGAUUAGAGACCCCGGUAGUCCUAGCCCUAAACGAUGUAGACUAGGCGUCGGAAGCUUAAUCGCUUUCGGUGUCCAAGCUAACGCGAUAAGUCUACCGCCUGGGGACUACGGCCGCAAGGUUAAAACUCAAAGGAAUUGACGGGUCCCCGCACAAGCAGCGGAGCGUGUGGUUUAAUUCGUUGCUACACGAAGAACCUUACCUGGGUUUGACAUAGCAGUGGUAGGGAAGCGAAAGCGGACCGACCCUUCGGGGAGCUGUUACAGGUGUUGCAUGGCUGUCGUCAGCUCGUGUCGUGAGAUGUUCGGUUAAGUCCGCUAACGAGCGCAACCCGCGUUGUGUGUUACAAGUGUCACACAAUACCGCCGGUAUUAAGUCGGAGGAAGGUGCGGAUGACGUCAAGUCAGCAUGACCUUUAUAUCCAGGGCUACACACACGCUACAAUGGUCAGCACAAUAGGUUGCCAAGUCGUGAGACGGAGCCAAUCCUCCAAAGCUGGCCUCAGUUCAGAUUGCAGGCUGCAACUCGCCUGCAAGAAGUUGGAGUUGCUAGUAACCGCAGGUCAGCUAUACUGCGGUGAAUACGUUCCCGGGGAUU